rnacentral:rRNA from 1 species
AGAGUUUGAUCCUGGCUCAGGUUGAAUGCUGGCGGUGCGCCUAAUACAUGCAAGUCGAACGAGAACUUCGUUGAAUUUAUUCAAUAAAGGGAAAGUGGCGGACGAGCGAGUAACACGUACGAAUCUACCCCGAACUCAGGGAUAACUCACUUAAAGGUGGGCUAAUACCGGAUAGUCAGGCAACUGUAAAGCUAUUGCGGUUCGGGAGGAGCGUGCGGUCUAUCAGCUAGUUGGUAAGGUAAAGGCUUACCAAGGCGAUGACGGAUAGCUGGUGUGAGAGCAUGACCAGCCGCGAUGGGACUGAGACACGGCCCAUACUCCUACGGGAGGCAGCAGUAAGGAAUCUCCGCAAUGGACGAAAGUCUGACGGAGCGACACCGCGUGAAGGAUGAAGCAUCUAGGUGUGUAAACUUCUUUUAUGAGGGAAGAAAAUCUGACGGUACCUCAUGAAUAAGGACCGGCUAAUUACGUGCCAGCGGCCGCGGUAAUACGUAAGGUCCAAGCAUUAACCGGAAUUACUGGGCGUAAAGCGUCCGCAGGUUGUUUAGAAAGUCUGUUAUUAAAUACCGGUGCUCAACAUCGGUGCUGUAAUGGAAACUUCUAAACUUGAGGAUGGGAGAGGAGUGUGGAAUUGUGCAAGUAGGGGUAAAAUCCGUAGAUAUGCACAGGAACACCAAAAGCGAAGGCAACACUCUGGCCCAUUCCUGACACUCAGGGACGAAAGCGUGGGGAGCGAAACGGAUUAGAUACCCGUGUAGUCCACGCCGUAAACGAUGCGUGCUCGGUGUAGGGAUCCUUGACUUGAUCUCUGUGCCCAAGGUAACCCGUUAAGCACGCCGCCUGUGUAGUACGAGCGCAAGCUUAAAACACAAAGGAAUAGACGGGGGCCCACACAAGCGGUGGAACGUGGGGUUUAAUUCGUCAAUAAGCGAGUAACCUCACCCAGACUUGACAUCCCUAUUAAACUUUCUAGAAAUAGAUAGGUCGGCUCGGCCGGAUAGGUGACAGGCGUUGCAUGGUUGUCGUCAGCUCGUGCCUUGAGGUGUUCGGUUAAGUCCGUGAACGAGCGCAACCCUCGUCGUAUGUUGUAUUUUCAUACGAGACUGCCCGUUAAACGCGGGAGGAAGGCGAGGAUGACGUCAAAUCAGCAUGACCCUUAUGUCUGGGGCUACACCCGCGUUACAAUGGCAAGCACAAACUGAAGCGAAGCAGCAAUGUGGAGCAAAUCGGAAAAAACUUGUCUUAGUUCGGAUUGAGGUCUGCAACUCGACCUCAUGAAGUUGGAAUCGCUAGUAAACGUAUAUCAGUCACGGUACGUUGAAUAUGUUCCUGGGCCUUGUACUCACCGCCCGUCAAGGCAUGGAAGCCGGAGGUGCCCGAAGUCUGCCAAUUAAUGGUGGCCUAAGGUAAAAUCGGUAACUGGGCUUAAGUCGUAACAAGGUA